AUNAGGGGAGCUGANCNAGCACGCCGCGUGAGCGAUGAANGCCUUCGGGUCGUAAAGCUCUGUUGUUAGGGAAGAACAAGUUACUUAAAGUAACUGCUCGUACCUUGACGGUACCUANCCAGAAAGCCACGGCUAACUACGUGCCAGCAGCCGCGGUAAUACGAA
rnacentral:rRNA from 1 species